rnacentral:rRNA from 1 species
UACAGAGGGGGCUAGCGUUGUUCGGAAUUACUGGGCGUAAAGGGCGCGUAGGCGGCCCGCUAAGUCGAACGUGAAAUCCCCGGGCUCAACCCGGGAACUGCGUCCGAUACUGGCAGGCUUGAAUCCGGGAGAGGGAUGUGGAAUUCCAGGUGUAGCGGUGAAAUGCGUGGAUAUCUGGAGGAACACCGGUGGCGAAGGCGACAUCCUGGACCGGUAUUGACGCUGAGGCGCGAAAGCCAGGGGAGCAAACGGG